GACGAACGCUGGCGGCGUGCCUAAUACAUGCAAGUCGAACGCAGUGGGGAUGGGUGAGGAACACGUGGGUAAUCUCCCAUCAGAGGGGAUAACAUUUGGAAACAGGUGCUAAACCGAGACUGAAGGAGGGACCUGCGGUGAAUUAGCGAGUUGGGGCGGUAACGGCUCACCAAGGCCACGAUGCAUAGCGGGCCUGAGAGGAUGACCAGCCACACUGGGACUGAGACACGGCCCAGACUCCUACGUGAGGCAGCAGUGGGGAAUCUUGGGCAAUGGACGAAACUCUGACCGAGCAAUGCCGCGUGAAUGAAGAAGGUUUUCGGGUCGUAAAACUCUGUUGUUAGAGAAGCGGUAUCUAACGAAGAAGCAACGGCUAACUCCGUGCCAGCAGCCGCGGUAAUUC
rnacentral:rRNA from 1 species